UAUUCCUGUACUACCGAUAACCGUUUGAGAGAAGGGAUGACACAGUAGGAUAAGCUAAGCACACUGUUGGUUAUGUGUGCCCAAGCAUUGAGGCAGUCAAAGCAGGCAAAUCCGCUUUGAUAAUGCUGGGAUGUGAUGGGGAGCGAAAUUUAGUAGCGAAGUAGCUGAUUUCACACUGUCAAGAAAAGUCUCUAUCGAGGUUAAA
rnacentral:rRNA from 1 species